UAGGGGUGAUUAUUUCUGAUGACUUAAAGGUAGGCAGACAAUGUAAUAGAGCAGCAGGAAAUGCUAGCAGAAUGCUUGGUUGUAUAGGAGAGGUAUUAGCAGUAGAAAGAGGGAAGUGCUCAUGCCAUUAUACAGAACACUGGUGAGACCUCACUUGGAGUAUUGUACACAGUACUGGAGACCGUAUCUUCAGAAGGAUAUUGAUACCUUAGAGAGG